GGGGGCAUAGCUCAGUGGUAGAGCAUUCGAAUGCAGGUCGAGAAGUCCCUUAAUCAAGGCUGAGCGCCCCCU